AUAGGACCGGUUUUUCCAUUCAAAGGAGAAACCAGCCUGAGAAUACCGGCUUCAGUAUUUUUACGUAAUUUUCGAAGUCCACCGUUUAACAAAAGAUUCUGUAAGGUUUUCCACCAAUUGGAUGGCCAAAAAUCAGACGAUAUUACGCCAGAUCUUGGUAUUACUUGUGGGGGAAAAAUACAUUUUUAUCUUGUUUUACCUGUAUAAAUGACUUCUCUCGAUGUAUGUAACAUUCAUUUGGUUCUCAUUAAAAGACGGUACUAGUCACUAAA